CACGAGGUUGUUGAUGAGGCUGCUGCUCUUUGGUCACUGCAACAUUUCCCGUAUUUUGGCUUUUGUUUCCUUGUAUAUUACAAUCAUAGAAUGACAUAAGGUCAUCAAUCAUCCUUUGCCCCUCUUCAGGAACUCCUACUCCAAAUAGAUCAAAAGGAGGUGGACUUGGAUUAACAGGCAGAGCAACUGAAGUUGACGGGAUAUAUUGUUGAGGGAGGACAACUGGCUUGACUUCGUUCAUGGGAAACUUUGAAACUCCAAAUUGAGAAGUGUUUCUAUAAGGGCAGACCAGUUGAUGAUUGUCUCUCGCAGAUCUGUCCUGAAAACCGUGGCGAAGUUCACUGUAAGGACAUUGAAGAAUCUCACAUGUAUAAAUCUGAGCCAUGGUAACAGUCUGUUCAUUGGAUUGCUUCCUCUUGCGGGUGAAAUCUAAGCUGGUGAUUAUUUCAUCCUUGAUAGGAUGAGACUGUUGUUGCAGAGGCAGCCUCUCGUUGAAUCUCUCAACAGUGACAUUCAACAAGUUGAGAUGGUGUGGUUUUUGCUCUUGAACAUCAAAGUUACACUCAUCUUGAGCACCAUCAACAUCAUACUCACUGCUGUCAUUCACAGUGAAAGUUCCACUACCACCAGCUGACGAUAAAGGUGGACAACGAUCAGGGUAUAGUUCUCGAGCCAAAGCUUCCUCCUGAUUGAUGAUAGCAAGCCAAGUCGCACUUUCUUUUGCUGUCAUCUUAUCCUGCAAGCACUUUGACUGCCUCACAAGCUUCCGGAUUUUAGCAAUAUCAGGGGAAAUGUGCUUGAUCACCGCUGUUAGGACACCAACCUUCCACGCCUUCUUCAGAUCAUGAGGCUUUUUAUAAGGUGGAGGACCUUGAUCCUUCUGCAAACCCAAUUGUGGCCACCAGUCCUCCUGUCCUGUAGGCCACCAUGGGGGUGAAACACCUUUCUCCAAUGGAAAUCUUCUCUGAGGAGGAUCACAGUGCUGCAUCAAAGCUGAUAAUAACGAACCAAGGGUGGUAUCUUGCAGCUCCUGCAAGGUGUGAGGGGUAGGACCAACUGGAUUAGACCCCUCGUUCAUGCCAGGGAUGGCAUGAUCAGCUUGGUAUUUGGCUAUUGCUGCAGGACCAUUUCGAUCGAACCUCACCUUAUCCUUCCACCACUCCCUAAGAUUAUCAGAUGCCCCACUAACUGGCUUGCCUUUUUCCGGAAUGAUCCCAUAAACAAACCCCUGAGCUUUACAUACUUCCAUCAUUUUCAGCAUGUACUUCAGUAUACCAUCUUGUGCACGCGACAUCUUCUUUCUACGAGCCUGCUCCUGCGACUGACGCUGCUUCGCACCAUCCCCCACCACUUUAUUCUUGUUUUUCUCUUUGAGACGCCUCAAAAGCAUUCGAUCCCUCCACAUCCUCCUCUCUAGCUCUUCCACAUCCAUCUCCUCAUCACUAUAAUCAUCCUCCUCCAACCCAACCGGCUUAUGCUCAACUUCUUGAGCUCCACAUCCCAUAGAAUCAGAUAGAAACUCAAAAUUUCCAGAGAACCCCAUAUCUUCAAAUAUCCCCAUUUACCAAAUUAUGAUUUUCUUGAAAACAGCUUGUUGAAGCUGUUAUCUAUGGC
rnacentral:misc_RNA from 1 species